AUACGGAGGAUCCGAGCGUUAUCCGGAUUUAUUGGGUUUAAAGGGUGCGUAGGCGGCCUUUUAAGUCAGCGGUGAAAGUCUGUGGCUCAACCAUAGAAUUGCCGUUGAAACUGGGGGGCUUGAGUAUGUUUGAGGCAGGCGGAAUGCGUGGUGUAGCGGUGAAAUGCUUAGAUAUCACGCACAACCCCGAUUGCGAAGGCAGCCUGCCAAGCCAUGACUGACGCUGAUGCACGAAAGCGUGGGGAUCAACAGGAUUAGAUACCCUGGUAGUCCACGCAGUAAACGAUGAUCACUAGCUGUUUGCGAUACACUGUAAGCGGCACAGCGAAAGCGUUAAGUGAUCCACCUGGGGAGUACGCCGGCAACGGUGAAACUCAAAUGAAUUGACGGGG
rnacentral:rRNA from 1 species